rnacentral:rRNA from 1 species
UACGGAGGGGGCUAGCGUUGUCCGGAAUCACUGGGCGUAAAGGGCGCGUAGGCGGCUCAUGAAGGCUGUGGUGAAAGUCCGGGGCUCAACCUCGGAUCGGCCGUGGCGACUCGUGGGCUGGAGCACUGUAGAGGCGGGUGGAAUUCCGGGUGUAGCGGUGGAAUGCGUAGAGAUCCGGAAGAACACCAGUGGCGAAGGCGGCCUGCUGGGCAGUUGCUGACACUGAGGCGCGACAGCGUGGGGAGCAAACAGG